GGUCGUAGGUGACCUGCGGAAGGAUCAUUA
rnacentral:rRNA from 2 species